rfam:Apaloderma vittatum contig10640, whole genome shotgun sequence.
GGCCCGUUAGCUCAGUCAGUUGAGCGUGGCGCUAACGACGCCAAGGUCACGGGUUCGAUUCCCGUUCGGUCCC